AAGACCUUGCACUUUUGGAGCGGCCGAUGUCUGAUUAGCUAGUUGGUGGGGUAAUGGCCUACCAAAGCUUCGAUCAGUAGCUGGUCUGAGAGGACGGCCAGCCACACUGGGACUGAGACACGGCCCAGACUCCUACGGGAGGCAGCAGUGGGGAAUUUUGGACAAUGGGCGCAAGCCUGAUCCAGCCAUGCCGCGUGAGUGAAGAAGGCCUUCGGGUUGUAAAGCUCUUUCAGCCGGGAAGAAAAGGUUGCGACUAAUAAUCGCAAUCCAUGACGGUACCGAAAGAAGAAGCACCGGCUAACUACGUGCCAGCAGCCGCGGUAAUACGUAGGGUGCGAGCGUUAAUUGGAAUUACUGGGCGUAAAGGGUGCGCAGGCGGUUUUGUAAGUCAGAUGUGAAAUCCCCGGGCUUAACCUGGGAACU
rnacentral:rRNA from 1 species